CUUCCGGCGAGGGCUGCCUGAGGGGUUAGUGGUUCAUCCUCACAGGACAAGUAGAAAACUGGAAGCAGGAAGUCCAGCAAAUCAUUUCCAGGAGUUGUAAAUUGACCAAAGGCAGACAACAAAGUUCCAUUCUUGAAGAACUGGAGCUUCGGUUGAAGACAGAAGGCACAGGUGCCCAACCCUGGGCAGCCUCUGAGAAGGCACGUGUGAGCCAGUGACAUGGGAGUGCAGAGCCCAGGCAGUUCGUUUACCUGCAGAAGCUGGACCCGCUGCUCUGCUCCACAGCAUCUGGCAAUUGACACGAUCCCGUAAGUCAAUUUUGCAGCUGAGUGGACUGAGGCCCCAGAAAGCCAAAGGCCUGAAGUAGAAAAUAUCAAGCAGGUGACUCAUUAAGUCUGGAGUCUAGGACUUGAGCUCUGUGGAACAGCCUACGCACUACUGAUCUUAUUGGAUAUUAGGAAGCCUGAUUGGUCUGUGGCCUCAGUUUCGGCCAGCAUGAGAAGAGAGUGAGAGCUCGGGAACAGUUUCCCCUGCUGAGUUUUCAGGGUUUUGAAUGUAUUAUCCUCCUACCCAGCUCACUUUGAUUCUCCAUCUAAUUCUCAUCAUCUGCCACUACUUCUGCCUUGCACGUUCCAUUGUGUUCCAUCCAAGGUGCUUGCAAAUGCUUCCAUUUCUUCAGGAGCUCCACACCUCCCAUCUCAACUUGGCAGAUGGCCUGCUCUGCCUUUGCUUUUCCUGAGAAGACUGAGACCCAUUGAGCGACCUCUGGUCAUCUCCUCUACUUCACUGUCUCUGAUUUGUCAUGUCCCCUCCACUUUCAGAAAAUGAAGUGGACAUUCUCCUCAACAGAGCCAGCCUCAGAUGCCAUCCUUUUGGCCUGGACCCUCUGAGAUCCUCCUGUAGUCCAGAUUGUUUCUCUCUCCACUGUACCCUCAGACAUGCACUUGAUCCGGUUGUAUCUCCCCACCUCAUCUCUACUCCUUUUCACCAGUUAUCCACACUGCGCCCACCAGUUUCUCACCCCUGUGUCCUCUCAAACUUCUUUGAUGGCCAUCUCCCCUAGCUUCUACUCAAAUGGCACCUCUGAAGGUCAGAGAUGUGGGUAAAACUUCCCAAUCUUUAUCACUCAGGGCUUUGUAACCUUGAACACUCUUAACCACCUAUCUUCCUUGAAACUCUUUCCUUGGUGGGUCUCCAUGGCCCUCAACUCUGAGUUCUCAUCAUGUUUCUCACCCAUUGCUUUUUCAUUCCCAAGGCAAAUCUUCUUCUUUUUAUUACAGAUCUCAUAUUUUCUAGUAUUUCUCUGAAAACUCAUUUGUUCUCUUAUUCCUAAGCUCUGUGGAAUUAGUUGGUAAGGGAAACUGAGAUAGUGAGAAUAGGAGGCAUCUGUUUGCUUUUGGGUUUCUUGGCAUUUGAAGGGAUUGCUCCAGUGUGUCCCAUUGUUGUUCAUUUCCUGGCUUCUGUGUCUUCCUAACUUACAUGAUGCAAAUGUACAUUCAAUACUUUGUUUAUGGACUCUGGAAUCAAGAGUCUUAAGCUGUGUUGUUGACUGGUUGACUUCAAGAUGAAUGGCAGGUCUAUAUCUCUUCCUGUCUGGUUUGUGAAAAAAAAAACCAAACUUCUGUGCUGCUGCCUUUUGGACCAGAUGUGAUGUAUAACUGACCUUUGAAUGGGCUGAUGGGGGAAUACACAGACCCUGGCAGUGACCUGGUGGUUUGAUAUACAGAGCCUGCCUUAUUCAGAAUGGCUGACAGCGCUUCUGCUUGGCAGGAGUAUUCCUGCCUCAGAAGCAGAGGUGCCCAGGAAGAGGGAGUACUGAGUACCCCCUCUCACUGACCACCCUCUUCCCAGUAGCAGCACCAUCUGAGCAGCAGCCCAACUAAGUAAGCGUCCCUAGAGCAUGACCUCGAGCCCACCAGGCUUCUUUCUCAGUGAAAAUCAACCUUGUUUUAAAUUAGUCUUUGUGUCUGCUCUGGCUUUCAAUAAGAUUCUUUUGUGAACUUUAUCAACAUCACUGACAAACUGGGAGAUGCCCAAAUCUCAACAGAAAUCAAUCAAGCGUUACAAUUUUUGGGGAAAAAAUAGUUGGUUUGUUUUCUGACUUGUACCACAAACAGCGGCUCCAAUCUGUCAUUAUGACUGAGAACAUGUCACAACAAUCUGUUUUUAUUCUUUAGGAAAGAAGAACAACAUCUUGCUCUCCUCCAGCUACAGCUAAUUUAGAAAAUUUGCAAGCUGACAUGCAACUUGAUUAAAAUGACCUGGAGUCACCAAUUCUUUUAAAAUGCAACUCAAUGCUCACAACCUCAGACCUUCUGUAGUCCAAUUGUCUCCUUCAGAGCUUUUUUCUUUUCUUUUUUGUUGGGGGUUGGGAGAACAGGGAUCAAAAAAGAACUGUA